AUUAUUUAAACGUGUUAUAAAAGCCGACAACUUUGAGUACAGGAAGUUUAGACGUUGCUACGAUAAACAGUGAGAAUAGUAAAACAGUAAUGAGCCGAAGACAACCUUUACAGAGACACAGUAUGGCAAGAGUUAGUUUUGACACGAGUACUGAUACUGAAAGCAGUAUUGCGGACACAGAGGAUACAGACGACAGACGAUCGAGGACAAGAUUUCCACCCAUAGGUCAAAGUCAAAGUCCUGAUCAUUUCUGUAUACAAGGCAGUGGCAUUGGUUAUUCUUCAGAGACUCGGUUAGAUGAUGACACAAACACUAGGAAGCAGCUAGUCACACUUACCCAUAAUCAUAGAAUGCUGAAUGCUAAAGUAAAAAAGAAUGAGAAAAUUUUUGAACAAAAAUUAAAAGCAGUUUCUGAUAACUUAACAGAAACUCAAAAAAAGUUAAACAAGGUUGAAGGUGAAAAAAACAAGCUUCAACGUGAGUUCGAAACUUUCAAACGGGAUUCUGAAAAGAAAAAUGAGAAUUUAUCAGGUUAUAUUAAUGACUUAGAGCAGGAAACAAAUACUAAAAUCGUUAACUUAGAUUCAAAAGUCAACACAAUGUAUAAAGACCUUAAGUUGGAAACAAAGAAUACGCAAACAUGCAUGGAAAACGUACAGUCAAAUUUGAUGUCAAAAGUGGACGAGGCAACCUCCGAACUAAAACAAAAUCAAGAAACCAUGGGCACAGAUAUGAAAGAUAUAAAGACAAUGAUGACAAAAUUGUUACCAAAAACAGUUGCCAAAAAAACUAAAGUUGGAGUGAAUAAACCGUAUACUUCUCAUAAAUGUACAUAAAACGAUAUAGACAGGUAACCAGCUCGUUUUUAGCUCACCGUUCCUAGGGAACUCUGAGCUUUUGCCAUCACUUGGCGUCCGUCGUCGUCCGUCGUCGUCUGUCGUCGUUCGUCUGGUGUAAACUAUUUCAAACAUCUUCUCCUCUGAAACUACUAAACCAAUUCCAACCAAACUUAAGCUGAAUGAUGCUUAGGGUAUCUAGAAUAAAGUCUGUGUUUUAUUUACUGUUUCGUCAAAUAACAUGGCCGCCAUGGCUAAAAAUAGAACAUAGGGGUAAAAUGCAGUUUUUGUCUUAUAUCUCAAAAACCAAAGCAUUAAGAGCAAAUCUGACAUGGGAUUAAAGUGUUCAUUAGGUAAAGUUCUAUCAGCCCUGAAAUUUUCAGUUGAAUCUGUUAACCCAUUGUUGGGUUGCUGCCACUAAAUUGGUAAUUUUAAGGAAAUUUUGCAGUUUUUGGUUAUUAUCUUGAAUAUUAUUAACGAUAAGGAUAAACUGUGACAGCAAAAAUGUUCAGCAAGGUAAGAUCUACAAAUAAGUUCAUCUGAUCAAAAUUGUCAAUUGACCCCCUUAAGGAGUUAUUGCCCUUUAAGGACAAUUUUACACAAUUUGUUUAUCAUGUUUUCUAACUUUAAAAAUCUUCUUCUCUGAAACUACUGAACAAUUCCAACCAAACUUAAGCUGAAUAAUUCUAAGGGUAUCUAAAAUAAAGUUUGUGUUUUAUUUUCUGUUUCGUAAAAAACAUGGCCGCCAUGGCUAAAAAUAGAACGUAGGGGUAAAAUGCAAUGUUUGGCUAAUAUCUCAAAAACCAAAGCAUUCAGAGCUAAUCUGAUGAGGGGUAAAAAUGUUUAUUAGGCCAAGCUUUGUCAGCGCUGAAAUUUUCAAAUGAAUCUAACAACCCAUUGUUGGAUUGCUGCCACUUAAUUGGUAAUUUUAAGGAAAUUUUGCACAUUUUGGUUAUUAUCUUGAAUAUUAUUAAUGAUAAAGAUAAACUGUAUACAGCAAAAAUGUUCAGCAAAAUAAGAUCUACAAAUAAGUUCGUAUGACCAAAAUUGUCAAUUGUCCCCUUAAGGAGUUAUUGCCUUUUAAAAUAAAUUUUUCACAAUUUGUUCAUUUAGUUUGCUUAUUUUAAAAAAUCUUCUCCUUUGAAACUGCUGAAUCAAUUUCAGCCAAACUUGGGCUGAAUGAGUUUCAGAGUAUCUAGUAUAAAUUUUGUAUUUUAUCUUUUUGUACGUCAAGAAACAUAGCCACUAUGGCUAAAAUGAAACAUAGGGGUAAAAUGUAUUUCUUUGAUUUUGAAGAAAAUAUGACAGAUAAAAACAUUUCAAUGGCAGUUUUAAGCCAUUCAUUAAUAUAUAUUGAAAUGCAAAAAUAAUCAUUGAUGAAAGAUUUAAGCAAAAAAAUACAUGUGAGCGACUCAGGCUCUUGAGAGCCUCUUGUUUAACAAAAAUAUGAUUGUGGCUGUUCAUAUAAUUGAAAUAUUUACAUGUAUUGUAGUUUAAAUAAUUUAUCUAUCAGUAUAAACAGUAUAGUUUAAAAGUUAUAUUCAGUGAGGAUAUACUUUUUUAUAUUAAAAUACAUUCAUGACGAUACAAACAUGCAUAUUAUAAUAAUAAACUUCAAAUUUUACCUUGAUGCAUUAUACAAGUGUGAAGAUAUUUGCCAUGAAAAGCGUAAAAUA